rnacentral:misc_RNA from 1 species
AUCAGCUGAUCGCACAUGUAUUUAAAAGUGAGUGUGGGAGUUGUUUGUUCUCAGUUUUAUAAAGUUUUAGCGCAAUUAAGUUAUUCUUGAAAAGUACGAAUUGUCGUCGGGUCUCGUGUAGUGCACGCAAAAAUAUUGCAAGUUUCUAGUUGGAUUUUAUGUAAUUGUACAUUAGACGUUGCUCGAAAUGGCCGUGUAUUUUAUGCCAAAGAAUCAUCUAAUUACAAAGGCCUCUACCCUAAAAUCUUUCCCAAACAAAUGGACCAUAAGAUGGGCAACGACACGUCGAAAUCUAUCAAAUAAAGUUUCAGGUACGCCCGGAAUUAAUACUACAUCACAACAAACACAAACAUCAUAUGGACAACAUCGUGAUAAGAAAAAAGGUAAAUUCAGUAAAUUAAAAAGCCUCCAAUUGGAAUGGAGUUGGAAAGCGGGGGCUAGUUUCACUAUAUUAUCAGUAUUGGAUUGGUGGUUGUUGGCUGCAGGAUGGUUUACAUGGUCGGGACUGUUGACACGAUGGACCCCCAUAGGCGUUUGCGUCUUUGCUGCACUUGAGUGGCACUAUCAUACACGUAAAUUGGAAAAGCAGGGGCUACCUAUUACAGCGUCAGAAAUACAGAGAAUCGCCUACUGCUCUUUACCUUUACGGCUUGUUAGUCGAUGCUGGGGCUGGGUAGCAUCGUGCCCUGUUCCACCAGCGCUAAGACCAACAGUUUUCGGUGCCUAUGUGAACGCCUUCGAUGUCAACAUGGAAGAAGCGGAAAAUCCCGAGUUGAAGCAAUACCGCAGUCUUUCCGAGUUUUUCACUCGUACACUCAGAAAUGAUGUGCGUGUCAUUGAUAAAGCAAGUCUCGUUUCACCCGCCGAUGGUCGAGUUUUACAUUUCGGUUCAGCGACUGAAUCACGAAUUGAACAGGUGAAAGGAAUUACUUACAGUUUAGACGCAUUUUUGGGACCACCAAGUUGGACUAAAAAUGAAAAUUGUUCUAGCUGUGCUGAUGCUCUUAAACUUAAUAAAGAUUCUGCACUGUAUCAGUGCGUUAUUUAUUUAGCACCCGGGGAUUAUCAUAGAUUUCAUUCGCCAGCCAAAUGGGAGCCAGAAAUUCGACGCCACUUUACCGGUCAGCUACUAUCAGUUAGUCCAAAAAUUGCAGAAUGGUUACCGGGACUAUUUUGCUUAAACGAACGUGCAUUGUAUAUUGGAAAAUGGGAGUAUGGAUUUUUCAGUUUUACUGCAGUAGAAAAUUAACGGAACAUAUCCUAUGGACGGGUUUCUUAAAAAAAAAAAUACUUUACACGAUCUAAAAUCAAACAAAAAAUGAUUUUAGAUAAUGUAGCACUUUGACAUCGCGUGAAUAUUGCCUUUCCUUGGAUCCGAAAUCCAUAUUGAAAGUUUAUCCUGAUUUAGGCUAAACUCAAGGGCAGAAGACGAGAGGCAUAAAGGGCGACGUCCUGAUCACAAGUUUUACAACGUUGACUGACACGACGCAGGUGUCUAGAGUGUCGCUAACCGGCGAGAGUAGAGGAAGCAAAGGGUACAUGUUGCUGACAAUGUACUUCCACGAAUCGUAUUCGACUUAAAAGGGAACGUCUUUGAACGAAAAAUACUUUUUGUGGAGCUACAAACGUUGGAUCUGUACAAAUAUACUUCGACGAUGGGUUGAAGACAAACAAAUAUGUCCUGGGUCCACUGAAGAGGAAACGAUACGACGAGC